rnacentral:rRNA from 1 species
GAUCCUGGCUCAGAUUGAACGCUGGCGGCAGGCCUAACACAUGCAAGUCGAGCGGUAGCACAGAGGAGCUUGCUCCUUGGGUGACGAGUGGCGGACGGGUGAGUAAUGUCUGGGAAACUGCCCGAUGGAGGGGGAUAACUACUGGAAACGGUAGCUAAUACCGCAUAACGUCGCAAGACCAAAGAGGGGGGACCUUCGGGCCUCUUGCCAUCGGAUGUGCCCAGAUGGGAUUAGCUAGUAGGUGGGGG